rnacentral:RNase_MRP_RNA from 1 species
CAAGACAACAGUGCUCAAAAUGUUCUCGUUGGCAUUCAACCCCUCUUUGCAUUCACUGCCAGAAAACCGCAUCCAAUUUGUUCACAAGUUAUCGUAUUGUACAGUCAGCCAUGCAAUGACUCGUGCACCAUUUCCUGAUGGAUCUCAGCUUGAAAUUGAAGGCAUAAGGAGAAUGAGCCCCGUUCGGUUCGCGCCCUCAAACGAGCACUCACGACAUGG